GAAACUGUUAACAUCCUCACAAAGUUGAUGCUUUAUUUCUUUAUUUUUUGGCGCCUUGGUCUUUAACUCUUUAUAAUUAUAGAAAAUUGCCAAGUAUUUUCUUAAAGUUGAGAGAGAUGAGGAGUGUUUUCUCAUAUUAACAGUGCAUUGAUUUAGUCUUGUUAUAGGCAGAAAAUUAUUUAAAGAGACCUCUAUAUUUCACUUCUUCUGCAUUCCAUUGUUUGUACUUGCUGUGCUAGUAAAAUUGAGAGCUUUUGUUGCGUGAACCUGUUUGAAAUGCUACUCCUUUAUUUUGAUAAACGUUUGUGCUAAAUAUUGGUUUAUUUAGGGGCAUACUUUUGUUUUUCAUCUUAACUGAGCAUUCCCUUGCAUUUCAAAUUCUUCUAAAUGAACUAACGUUGAGGAGAGUAGGUAAAUUAUUUGUUGUAGUGGUAAAGGUUGUGUAGGGAUGCAUAUGCGAGUGUACCAAUGCAUGUAUAUGACAUUGUUUAUAUGAUUUCCUGUUAUUUGUCUCCCUUGAAGAUAUUUCAGUUUUAAGUUAACCCAUAUUUAUGACACUAUUUGAAACUAUUGCUAACAAUUUUGUUGCUAAAUAUGAAUUUUGGUCUGUGCUUUUCUCUCUUUCUUCUUUUUUCUUUUUUUUUAUCAUAUUUUUCCUUAUGAAUUUUGGGGGUGUGCUUGUAGUUUUUACCACAAGAUCGUGUCUGUGAGUUCACCAAAUUAACUCCAGUGCAACUUCUUGAAGAGACUGAAAAGGCUGUAGGCGAUCCUCAACUGCCGAUCCAACAUCGUGCACUUAUUGAGCAAAGCAAGAAAUUGAAAAGAGUUGAGCGAGCGGGUUUCUAAUGUGUCCUUACGUCAGACAAUUUUAAUUAGCUUUAUCAUGCUACUUAGACAUUUUACCUUUUUGAUUUAGGCUGUUGAAAAAAAUGGAGAAACUUUGAAUCAGUUGAAGGCACUGAAUGCUGAACAAGAGAAAGAUGUUGAGCAUAUCCGCCAAAGAGAGGAACUUCUCGCAAAGGCAGAGACCAUGAAAAAAAAAUUGCCAUGGCUAAAGUAUGAUAUGAAGAAGGCUGAAUGUAUGGAAGCUAUGGAGCAGGAAAAAGAUGCAAAGAAGAAGUUGGAGAAAGCUGCAAGAACUCUAAAUCAACUGAAAGAACCUAUUUAGUAUGAUUCAUUGAGUUGAUAUAUUCGUGCAUACUAUAUUGACAUGAGACAUACAGUCCAUUUAUUGCUGACAGUGCUUUUAUUUUACGUCUGGUGCACUACUCUUUUACCUGCUGAAGUAAACAAAAACAAGAGAGAGUUGUGACAGAGUCUAAGAGUACAAAAGUUGUAAAAAAACAUUAGUGAAAAUGCAAACACACGAAUGAAACUUAUGGAAAAUGUGAACCGCUUGGUAUGAUAAUGUGGUACUCUAUUCUCUUAAUGUGAUUUUAGCCUUCUCUAGUAUGUAGUGUGGAUAACUGAGUUUUUCUUGUGCUUCAAUUUCAUCCACAUGUUUAUAGGGAGUGUUAAUAAAAGAAAGUACAAUGAAAUGGAAGAUUUGAAGAAGCAAGAAGAAACUCGUCAACAAGGGAUCUUAAAAGCAAAAGAGGAUCUAGCUGCUGCUGAGCUAGAACUUGAAAAUCUGACUCCUUAUGAACCCCCUACAGAUGAAAUUGUUAAUGUGUCGGAUCGAGUUCACGCUGGCUUUAGGUGUUCAUGUUCCUUAUUACAUAUGGAAUGUAAUUACUGGUUUUGAACAUGCUUAAAUGCAAGAU